AGAAUCAACGCUGGCGGCGUGCCUAACACAUGCAAGUCGCACGAGAAAGGGUAGCAAUACCUGAGUACAGUGGCGCACGGGUGAGUAACACGUGAAUAAUCUACCUCCGAGUGGGGAAUAACUGAGAGAAAUCUUAGCUAAUACCGCAUAACACUUACGAGUCAAAGCAGCAAUGCGCUUGGAGAGAAGUUCGCGGCAGAUUAGUUAGUUGGCGGGGUAAUGGCCCACCAAGACGAUGAUCUGUAUCCGGCCUGAGAGGGCGCACGGACACACUGGAACUGAAACACGGUCCAGACUCCUACGGAGGCAGCAGUGGGGAAUUUUGCGCAAUGGGGGAAACCCUGACGCAGCAACGCCGCGUGGAGGAUGAAAUCCCUUGGGAUGUAAACUCCUUUCGAUAGGGAAGAUAAUGACGGUACCUAUAGAAGAAGCCCGGCUAACUUCGUGCCAGCAGCCGC
rnacentral:rRNA from 1 species